rnacentral:lncRNA from 9 species
AACGGCCACACCCUUAACGGCCGAGCACUAACUAAAGGCUCUGUGCUGACGGGGCUCAUGCCUGCCUGGCGUUAUGACUGGCUCCUCACAGCACCGACGCAAGGGCUAUCUUGCCUUUUUCUACCAACAGAGACAAGAAGCGUUAUCACCAGGGUAUCACCACGUGGGGAGCAGACGUGCACCCAGGUCCCAGACAGACAAGCAACAGCUACUCCUGACUUGAUUUUUCAAAACAACAUCUCUGCAGUAGAACAGUUUCCCUUACAGUUUAAUCCAAAACCUGAAGAGAAGUUCUUGAAUAGAGUAUAG